CCUACGGGAGGCAGCAGUGAGGAAUAUUGGUCAAUGGGCGCGAGCCUGAACCAGCCAAGUCGCGUGAGGGAAGACGGUCCUAUGGAUUGUAAACCUCUUUUGUCGGGGAGCAAAAGACGCCACGCGUGGCGUUCCGAGUGUACCCGACGAAAAAGCAUCGGCUAACGCCGUGCCAGCAGCCGCGGUAAUACGGAGGAUGAGAGCGUUAUCCGGAUUUAUUGGGUUUAAAGGGUGCGCAGGCGGAAGAUCAAGUCAGCGGUAAAAUUGAGGGGCUCAACCUGUUCGAGCCGUUGAAACUGGUGUUCUUGAGUGAGCGAGAAGUAUGCGGAAUGCGUGGUGUAGCGGUGAAAUGCAUAGAUAUCACGCAGAACUCCGAUUGCGAAGGCAGCAUACCGGCGCUCAACUGACGCUCAUGCACGAAAGUGUGGGUAUCGAACAGGAUUAGAUACCCUGGUAGUC
rnacentral:rRNA from 1 species